CAGCAGCCGCGGGAAUACGAACCGUCCGAACGUUAUUCGGAAUUACUGGGCUUAAAGCGCGUGUAGGCGGGUCGGCACGUCGGACGCUGAAAUCCCCCGGCUUAACCGGGGAAGUGGCGCCGAUACGGCCGACCUGGAGGGGGGUAGGGGGGCCUGGAACUUCCGGUGGAGCGGUGAAAUGCGUUGAGAUCGGAAGGAACGCCCGUGGCGAAAGCGAGGCCCUGGACCUUUUCUGACGCUGAGACGCGAAAGCCAGGGGAGCGAACAGGAUUAGAUACCCCCGUAGUCCCUGUCUCUUAUU
rnacentral:rRNA from 1 species